GCCACGAUGAACCCUGCUGGGGUGGGGUGCAGGCUUCAAACCUGUAGGCAAGGGUACUUGCAGCCGUUCGAUUCGGCCCUCGUGGU
rnacentral:tRNA from 1 species